GUCUUUUUGAUUUUUAUUAAAAGUUUAACCUGCCCAUUGAAAAUUUUUAAAAGGCUGCAGUAUUUUGACUGUACAAAGGUAGCAUAAUCAUUAGUUUUUUAAUUGAAAACUUGUAUGAAUGGUUGAAUGAGAAAUUAACUUUUUUAAAAAAAUAAUUGAAUUUUACUUUUUAAUUAAAAGGUUAAAAUAAAUUUAAAAGACGAGAAGACCCUAUAGAGUUUUAUAAUUUUUAUUUAAUAUUUUAAAAAGAUAAAUUUAAAUUUUAUAAAAAAAAUUAUUUUGUUGGGGUGAUUAUAAAAUUUAAGAAACUUUUAUUUUUUUUUUACAUUAAUAUAUGAUUUUAUGAACCAUUAUUUAAUGAUUAAAAAUUUAAAUUACCUUAGGGAUAACAGCGUAAUUUUUUUUACAAGUUCAUAUUAAUAAAAAAUUUUGCGACCUCGAUGUUGGAUUAAGAUUUAAUUUUAGGUGCAGCAGUUUAAAUUUUAAGUCUGUUCGACUUUUAAAUUCUU
rnacentral:rRNA from 1 species